rnacentral:rRNA from 1 species
UACGUAGGGAGCAAGCGUUGUCCGGAAUUACUGGGCGUAAAGGGUGCGUAGGCGGCGCAGUUAGUCAGAAGUGAAAUAUCGGGGCUUAACCCCGGGGCUGCUUCUGAUACUGCUGUGCUCGAGUGCAGGAGAGGUAAGUGGAAUUCCUAGUGUAGCGGUGAAAUGCGUAGAUAUUAGGAGGAACACCAGUGGCGAAGGCGACUUACUGGACUGUAACUGACGCUGAGGCACGAAAGCGUGGGUAGCAAACA